CACGUAGGGCGCAAGCGUUGUCCGGAAUUAUUGGGCGUAAAGAGCUCGUAGGCGGUCUGUUGCGUCCGCUGUGAAAACUCGGGGCUUAACCCCGAGCCUGCAGUGGAUACGGGCAGACUAGAGGUAGGUAGGGGAGAAUGGAAUUCCCGGUGUAGCGGUGAAAUGCGCAGAUAUCGGGAGGAACACCAGAGGCGAAGGCGGCGACCUGGACAAGUACUGACACUCAACUACGAAAGCGUGGGGAGCAAACAGG
rnacentral:rRNA from 1 species